rnacentral:rRNA from 1 species
AAUAUUGGACAAUGGGCGAAAGCCUGAUCCAGCCAUGCCGCGUGUGUGAAGAAGGUCUUCGGAUUGUAAAGCACUUUAAGUUGGGCGGAAGGGCAGUAAGUUAAUACCUUGAUGUUUUGACGUUACCGACAGAAUAAGCAGCGGCUAACUUCGUGCACGCAGCCUCGGUAAUACGAAGGGUGCAAGCUUUAAUGGGCAGUACUCGGCGUAAAGCGCGAGUAGGGGGUUUGUUAAGUUGGAAGUCAAAGCCCCGGGCUCAACCUGGGAACUGCUGUCAAAACUGGCAAGCUAGAGUAUGGCAGAGUGUGGUGGAAUUUCCUGUGUAGCGGUGAAAUGCGUAGAUAUAGGAAGGAACACCAGUGGCGAAGGCGACCACCUGGACUAAUACUGACACUGAGGUGCGAAAGCGUGGGGAGCAAACAGG